rnacentral:rRNA from 1 species
CAGCAGCCGCGGUAAUACGUAGGUGGCAAGCGUCGUCCGGAAUUAUUGGGCGUAAAGGGCUCGCAGGCGGUUUCUUAAGUCUGAUGUGAAAGCCCCCGGCUCAACCGGGGAGGGUCAUUGGAAACUGGGAAACUUGAGUGCAGAAGAGGAGAGUGGAAUUCCACGUGUAGCGGUGAAAUGCGUAGAGAUGUGGAGGAACACCAGUGGCGAAGGCGACUCUCUGGUCUGUAACUGACGCUGAGGAGCGAAAGCGUGGGGAGCGAACAGGAUUAGAUACCCCUGUAGUCCCUGUCUCUUAUAC